CUUUCUUUUAAAAGUAUAAGCUCUUUUCCUUUUUCGUUUUGUUUUCUUGAUAGCGAUGCGGCAUCGAGAGACUGAGUGUGAGCCGAAAGCAGAGGUCAAUGACCACUUGUUUUGUGCGUCUAGUUCCCAUUGGUUAUGCAGGAGUUUCGGGCGCCUGAGGACGUUUCCUUCUACUCUGCAGAGGAAGAGAGGGAGGGAAGAUGAAAAAGAGCAAGAGAACACCUCAAAAGAAGGACUCCUUUAAUGGUCACAUGGUGACUUUCUUCAAGGGACAACUCCUAUAAUGGACACUUAGGUGACUUUUGUGGUUAUACAUCUCCUGGGUGAGCUCAUCAGUGUUCUUUUCUUUCCAUUUGUCCCUUGUUUUUUAACUUUCUGGUGAGGUUGGUGUCUUUCCACACACAGGCCAUUGAACUUGAAGGUCUGUGUUAUUUUAGAGCUCUCAACCAUUAUUUUGUAGGGGCCUUGUCUGUGAACCUGUAACAGUGGCCACACCCCUUUGGGUGUGGCUUCGGGCGAAAGGAGGCAGAAACAGGGAAGCAUGAGGCAUAGCUUCUGUUUUUCCGAGCUCCUUUCUGGUGGGUCAGCCGAUCCAGUAGGAAGGACAGAGAAAUGCUCCCACGGUUUUUUGUAUUUUUCUGUGUAAGUGUUCCCCAAUAAAACCCAUUUAUUAUUAUCUUGGGUCUAGUGAAAUCUUUACACACAUGCCUUCAAUUGGUGUCUGACGUGCUUAGGUGGGUCCCUGCAACCGUCCCACAUGGCUGGCUGUACAGCCUACGGCUUUUAUAUUUUGCUCCGGCUGCUGAGUCUGCUGCACAGUUUCUGUGGAAAAGCCAGUACUUUGCUGUGCUCUUUGCAUGCCGUGGAUUUGUGGGCGCGUGCUUGUGGAAAGUAGCCCAAAGCUUUCUGAGUUGCAGCAGAU
rnacentral:lncRNA from 1 species